UGGGGAAUCUUGCGCAAUGAGCGAAAGCUUGACGCAGCGACGCCGCGUGAGGGAAGAAGGCCUUCGGGUUGUAAACCUCUUUCAGGAGGGACGAAGCCGCUCGGGCUAAUACCCCAGAGGGUGACGGUACCUCCAGAAGAAGCCCCGGCUAACUACGUGCCAGCAGCCGCGGUAAUACGUAGGGGGCAAGCGUUGUCCGGAAUUAUUGGGCGUAAAGAGCGUGUAGGCGGCCAGGUAGGUCUGCUGUGAAAACUCGAGGCUCAACCUCGAGCUGUCGGUGGAAACCAUCUGGCUAGAGUCCGGAAGAGGAGAAUGGAAUUCCUGGUGUAGCGGUGAAAUGCGCAGAUAUCAGGAAGAACACCCGUGGCGAAGGCGGUUCUCUGGGACGGUACUGACGCUGAGACGCGAAAGCGUGGGGAGCAAACAG
rnacentral:rRNA from 1 species